UCUCUUUAUUAUUUUUCCUGAUUGGAAAGAAAUCGCAGGGUCAAUAUUUUCAUUAAUCACAUUACAUGACAUGAUGCACCAAAAUGUUACUCUAUCUGUUUACAGGAAUACACUGAAUAGAACACAAGGUUUCACAAUGGAUACACAACUGACGUUUCGCCCAUUGCACUUACAACAGUGAAUGACUUGAGUUAGACUUUUUCUGGAUUUUUUUGUUGUUGCAUUUUCAAUUAGCUUUUUCCUCUUAUUUCAAUCUCUUUUUAAAAAACGGAUAAUUUCUCAUCAACUUUGAAACCUCCCGAUAGAAUUAUCAUAGAAUGCCUGGAUAAACUUUUACCAUGGAGGUAUUUCUCCUUGUUUUACAAACACAAUAUGUAUAGAAACUCUACACAGACCGAAUAUGUAUCUGAAUACAAGUUUAUUCCAAUGUUGCCAAAAGUCAAUACGAGCCAGCCAGAUACACUAUGCAUAUUUCAUCAUUAUAUUCAUAAUCAUGAUAUUUAAUCAUAAUAAAUAUUAUUUUAUACACAAAAGCACAAAAGUUGGCAGCAAGUACGGUGUGGGAAUGCACAAGACGACCGUACUAUGAACUCAAACGCUGUACAGAAGAAUCCAUCUGUAUUUACAGUGAGAAUGUGUGUUUGUGUGUCUGUCUGUCUGUCCAUUUGGACGGCUACAGUCAGUGAAGGCUGUCUGGUCUCAUGCUUCUCUUAUUGACCACAAUGUCUCCAUAAAGAUGGUGAGCAUGCAGCUAUCUAUACCAAGGUCCCUCUUUGGAUUCACCCUGCAGACUCUCAUUUAUAUUAUUACCGUGAGAUAACACAUUUGUUUUACCUCUCCUUGAAAUCUAUAACACAUAUCCCAUUGGUGUCAUAUUUCUGUCUUUACAUACCAGUCAGACUUGUGCUUUAAUUAUAACAUGCCCGGAUUGGAUGAAUGAUUGACUUGGGCUCAGCAGAAUGUUGAGUUUCUCUGACCUGAUUGACAGUACUGUGGUACCCUCUAGACUAGCCUUGGAUAUGGAAGGUUCAGUGGUCCACUGAUUGAGUUCUAAAGUUUGCGACGAGUUCCAGACUGUUCAUUUAAGGGCGAAUCCUAACUUCAACUUAAAAUGCAAUGCAUGACUAAGUGGAGAUUAGGAUUUCUCCCAUUUGUUCCUCCAACUACUAAUGAUACCUUGAUAUGUUGUUCUUUGUAUGCAACUUUUAGUGGCUUCAAAGCACAUCAAGUUGUUUCCCUCAUCAUCUAUUACUACAUGAUGCCAUUCCUAAUGCAGUGAGAUAUAAGGAACCAUUCUAUUUGUUGGACAGUGAUCAACCAAUCAGAUACCUGAAAUGAAUCCUCCACCCUUCAGGUUAUACACUGACUGCCGAUGCACACACUGACUGACAUUUUACAAUGAGAAUUUCUGACCAACCGCAUCACAGGUUUGUAUAGCAGCACGGACUGGACAGCUGAACACGCCAUGGCACAGUUGGGCCCUGGUCAAGCCACACACACCAGGACUGAAUGAGAGCAUACAAACAGCCAGACAAAGCUAAGCAAAUCAUGCUUCAAGCAAUAAGAUGGUGGACAUUCAUGACUGACAGUCUACACAGUCAACCCUUUGGCAACAAGUCCCCCCAUAUGGGGAGUAAUGGGGUACUAUAAAACAUGCCACAAAAAUAAAAGUCUAGAUUCAAUAGUUAAAUAUUCAGAUCCAUAAAUACAAUUAGCGAAGUACAAAUAUGUUCAUAACUGUUUUUGAUGUCUUUCAGUUCACAAUUUUGUUGGAUUCUAGUGAGUAACAUUGGUCAUUAUGGUAUUAAACUUUUUUUUUUGUCUGUUCCAGUUUCAAAAUGAAUCAUUGCAUAGAACAUUUGAAAUGAUGAUUGCUUCCAGCUACUCCUACAUGUGUGUGUGUUUGCUUGAUUGCAUUUAUGUCUCUGUAUGAGUAAGUGUAAACAGAGAUUCAGGUGUGUAUGUGUAGUUAUGCAACUCUCUCUGACAUAUUGCUGAUGUUUAUCAACAUGUUUCAGAUAUUCCCAUCCAUGAAUUUAAACAACAUUAACACCAUUGUGCUGUAAAUCAUGUUAUGCAUGCGAUUGCUUUUCAAAAUCAACCAGCAAAUUAAAAUGUAAGAUAAUAAAUAAGAAAACAAUAGACCAUAAAAUAUAAAUAGAUUUACCAAACAAAAACAUAAAACAUAAAAACAGA
rnacentral:lncRNA from 1 species